rnacentral:rRNA from 1 species
GCCAGCAGCCGCGGUAAUACGUAGGGGGCGAGCGUUGUCCGGAAUCAUUGGGCGUAAAAGAGCUCGUAGGCGGUUCAGUAAGUCGGUGUGAAAGCUCCGAGCUCAACUCGGAGAGGCCACUCGAUACUGCUGUGACUAGAAUCCAGGUAGGGGAGUGUGGAACUCCUGGUGUAGCGGUGAAAUGCGCAGAUAUCAGGAAGAACACCAGCGGCGAAGGCGGCACUCUGGGCUGGUAUUGACGCUGAGGAGCGAAAGUGUGGGUAGCAAACAGGAUUAGAUACCCUGGUAGUCCACACCGUAAACGUUGGGCACUAGGUGUGGGGAGGAUCAACCCUUUCCGUGCCGUAGCUAACGCAUUAAGUGCCCCGCCUGGGGAGUACGGCCGCAAGGCUAAAACUCAAAGGAAUUGACGG